CCUAAAUGAUCCUAAGUGGAGUCUCCAGUGCCUGGAACAGUUCAUGCAGCCCUCAGCAGAGGCAGUCAGGAGGGUUUUCCUUCCAGCAGCCUGAAUUCUCCCAAGCUUGCGAGAGAAAAACUCCCUUUGGGACAUCCCUGUCAAGUCUGCCUGAAAGUGGACAGUCUGUUCAUGAGCUCCUGGGGAUAAAGAGCAGAAAGAAAAGUGACUGUGACACUGGAGGUGGCACCUGUGUCCUCAGGGGAGCACACAGCCUGCUUCAGCUCAGGGGCAAAAGGACGGACAGCAGCGCUGCCCGGAGCCGUGUCCCGACGGGAGCCGUGUCCUGCUAUUGCCACCUCGUGGGGCCUCGCAGCAAUGACCAGGUCACCCCCGCGGGUGAUGGCACAGUGCAACAAGCUGGAUGACUUUCCAUGCCAAUGGAUGACCUUCUCUGCAGACUCAGGGCAAGAUGCUCUAGUUAAAGAUGUAUGUCAAGAAAACACUUCCUAAAUGUUCUCAGGCACCACUUUUUAUGUCUUUUUGUACCACAGGGUGCUUGUCCUGAGGGAGACCCAAGGCUUCUCCUCCUGACAGAGCACGUGUGCUGGAGCUGGCAGGAAUGUCAGUCCUUGCACAGACAACCCACAGCCACACUGGAACCACCCCAUAAUGGAUAAUUUUGUGCACAUGUCAUCUGUCUGGACCUCAACUAGACAGGUAGAGUCUGCCUGUUGUCCCUGCUCCUGGAGCACUGUGACACAGGAAGGAGAAACCAGGGCUGUUCCUGCCCAUCCUGCAUCUGCUCCUGGAGUGAACCAACAAUUCCACUUCCUCAGCAUGCUGGUCUGAGGUCUUUCCUAAGCACCAAACUCAUACAGAGAAAAUAAAUAACAGCUCAGUAAUAA